UCUUUUGCUUUGCUCUCUUUCUUAGUGUAGCCAACAUGUUCUGUAAUCUGUACUAUGUUACAGUGUCUUUUUGGUUUAUCGUCAGAAGAGAACUAAAAUUGCCUGAGUCAUAUGAUUCGUUCGACCGAUGCCUUCUACAUUCCCAAUGGCAUCGCUUUGUUGGAUAGACUUUUGCAAGUUCGGCGGCAGGUUUUCACUAUGAAUCUUUGCCUUAUGAGGCUAUCUUUGGUUUGAUAUCUCAUCUUCUGUUUAAGGUUGGUGAAAGUUAUUCAUAUGCUAAGGCAUAUGCUUAUAGGUACCAGUUUCAAUUUUCAAAAGGUAAUUUUAAGUACAUCAAAGAUUCAGUAGUAAGUUAGAAUGUUUAAGGUUGCAGGAGGUGCUUGUGAAAUUGGACCCACUUCUGGAAUAUGUAAGAGACUGUCUUCUACACUCGUGGAGCAAACUGGGCGAGAGAGAUUUUUUUUUUUUUAAAUAGCUAUAAAUCUAUAAUUGAAGCUUGAAGGAAAGGUGUGUAUGAUUAGUACUCCAAGAUUGUUUCUUUCUUCAAUAUCUUUUUCACUUUCUAAAUAUUCCUCUACUCUUUAUUUUUUUUUUGAAAUUUAGAAGCUCACUAUGAAUGUGAUUGAUUGAUAGUGACAUCAAAAACUUGCUAAAUUAUCGCUGACAGAAUUUGUUAUGUGUCAGCUGUUUCUACAGCAUUUCCUGCAGUGAACUCAGUUGGAUUAGACUGAGAACACAGAGACAAGCUUAGAUGGCAAAAGGAGGUAUAAAUCCCCAGUAUGAAAAUUCAAUACAUUUCUUACCGUAACAAAAAUCUCUCAUUCUUGGAUCGGUUCUUGGUUAACCAAAUAAACCCGAGUCCGGAACAGAUUGCUUAUGAGUUUGGAGUGAGAGUAG
rnacentral:lncRNA from 1 species